UCCCACAUCUUGAAUCUAUGUUGCACAC
rnacentral:misc_RNA from 1 species